CAUCAAAUGAAAUGUAAACAGGCUGCGGAUCAGCACUUCUGUUAAUUGACUCUCUUGGCAUAUGAUUGUUUUGAGCACAAGCACGCCUUGUUCCCAUCCUCACCCCACAGCUCUGUUUUUGGCACAAGGCGGUUUCAAAAAACCCAUGUGGCAAACAGGUGCCAUUUCCUAACUGGUUUUCAACACCAGGUGGCCCUAAAGUGCCACAGCAGAGUAAAGCCCACCAGCAGCACCCAAGGAAGGCCGACCAGAGCAAUGUGUUGAUAAUCCUAGUGCCACAUUUAGAUUACAGUGCAUGGCAUCUGUUAGCGAGGGGCAUGAAGUAAUGGAGGAGACCCGAGCAGGACAAACCUCUCCAAUUACAUAGACGAUGGGGACACGCACUUCUUUGUCAAUGGAAGGAAUCUACACAAGACAAGGCCUGCCUCUGUUUCUCCACGUUUCUCAACGCUGGCUCAAAUUUAAGUUUCAGUAUUUUUCUCUCUCUCCGUUUUAUGAUGUUAUGAGAACAUGGGAAAAAAGAGAAAAGAAAAUGUGUGAAAAGCUGUUUGGUGCUGGAUGAACUGACCACUUUUCCGACCUCAGACAGAGCACUUAAGGAUAAAGGAGACAAGGUGGAAGAGAUGCGAUUGGCCCCUGCCCCGUCAUCAUCAAGGAGACAGGUUGGCAAGGAGGAAAUGGACAUAAAUGCGGUCGCCUAACUGUGUCAAGGACGCAGAAGCCAAACCUGGUGCAGUUCACCUGUGAGAGACCUGAGAGCACAAUCGCAGAGAGGAACUGACCCACUAAACCGACUUACAACUCUACAGUCUGCACUCUUACUUUACUAAAGCAUUAACACCUUAUUCCUGCGAAACCUCCAAUGACCAACAAAGCUCUAGUGAUAUUGCUCAAAAGGUCAGGUUAGUGCUUUUCUAUGUCUUCAGCCAUUUCAUAUCUCUACUUCUAGAUCCCUUUUUCCUCCUGUUGAACUAGUAAAUGUGUGAAUGUAAGCGUUCCUUUUUUUCAAAGAAAAAAGGCUCAGCCGGCCGUAGCUGGGCACCAUUUAUAACCACCUCUCCAAUCACUGUGGGGUUUCACAGACUGGCAGAACUGUUAAUAAAAGCCUGUCAGACUGAACCUUUCAGCCCUCAGAGACACCAAGGCUGGACUCUGAUAAGAAGAAAGAGAAAAAUUCCCUUUUAUAGACGCAGAGGAGCAAAGUGGCUUAGGUUGGAGGGUUUCAGGAAACCUACGAUAUAAAGAGCAAAGAAUAUCAGCUUGUUGGAGAUUUUAUUUCAAAGAAUUCCGAACUGGAAUGUCCGAGUAUUUAUGGAAUUCCCAGGGCUCUUGAAAAGUGACCCUUCGCAUUACUGCUAGUGAAGGGGAUCCCCAAAAAGGUGAAAGCCUUACACAACUCAUGUGACUCAAGUCUGAUUUACAAGCAGGACGAGUUCUUUUAAUAUCUUCAAGGACUAUGACGGAGGUCUUGGAAAGCGGUUUUGGAUCAAGGCUUGACAUUUCCGCUAUAGGGUAUCCCCCCAACUUCCAUUCCCACCUCCCUUUUGGCCUGUCUGAGAUCACGUGAUCACAAGACCGUGCGCACGUGCGUGUUUGUGUUUAUGUUAUGUGCCAAGAAUCUGGUUUGCCAGGGUCACCUCCAUAUAAGGUAAGUGCUUAGCUCAGCACAGGCGAAUUCCUCUCGUUAUUUAGCGCCAAGAAUGCUGCUGUUCAUCCGUCACCGAGCCCGUGACAGUUGCUGUAAAUUAGCUCGCGCUCUGUAAAGGUCGGUUCUCCGUUCUGACACAUGCCGAACUCUUUAUGUGACUCAGCCUGAACACUCAUUCAGUAAUGAGAGCGGCUAGGGAUCCGGCGGCCCAGUGUUUGUGUUUGGGAAGCUUCUGCGCUGAAGAGUUUGGAGGGAAAUCUCCCUAAAGGCCGGCGGGAAUUCCCCCUAUGUUUCCACAGCUGUCUGCCGCACCACCUGGGGCUCUGCAUCAGAGCUGGGCAGCUCCCAACAGCUGCCUAUCCGUCGUUCACGGUCCCUCACAGUCCUUUGGACAACUUGAUACCAAACAUUCUUUGGGGUUGCUGUACGUACACAUCACGCUGCUUUAGACAGUCGCAGCAGUCUGAGAGUCCUCAAACGAGCUCGAGGUUUUCGUAUGUAUUGUAGUUUGGAUGUCAUGUGUACGUGCGUGUUUGGUGGCUUCUAAAAAGCAUUUGGAUUCUGAACCUGCACUUCAAAAAAAAAGAAAAGAAAAGAAAAUCAACACUGUACUUUAGACCGCCAUUUAUGUUCUUUUGUUAAAAGUAUUUUUGUCCUUUUUAAAUUUGCAAUCUAAGUUUAAUCCAGUUAUAUAAUGGCUCAGAAAAGUGAAAUCAGUUUCCUAGAACAAAAAUUCACAAAUCCAUGGAAAUGUCAAUGACAAAUUAAGUUAAUACUUGCUUUUCAGGCACAAUUUGAAUAGAAUUUUCCAUUUUAUGUAUGUGAUCUUGGACCACAAAACCAGUCACUGGGGUAUAUUUAUAACAAUAGCCAAAAAUAUAUUGUAUGGGUCAAA